rnacentral:rRNA from 1 species
UACGUAGGUGGCAAGCGUUUGUCCGGAAUUAUUGGGCGUAAAGCGCGCGCAGGCGGUCCUUUAAGUCUGAUGUGAAAGCCCACGGCUCAACCGUGGAGGGUCAUUGGAAACUGGGGGGACUUGAGUGCAGAAGAGGAAAGCGGAAUUCCACGUGUAGCGGUGAAAUGCGUAGAGAUGUGGAGGAACACCAGUGGCGAAGGCGGCUUUCUGGUCUGUAACUGACGCUGAGGCGCGAAAGCGUGGGGGAGCAAACAGG